rnacentral:miRNA from 14 species
GGCUUCUCUGUGUAGCCUUGACUGCCCUGGGACUCACUCUAUAGACCAGGCUGGCUUUGAACUAAGAGAUCCACCUGCCUCUGCCUCCCGCCUGCUGGGAUUAAAGGCGUGCACUACCACUGCCUG